rnacentral:rRNA from 1 species
CCUCGGGUGGCAGCCGUAGGGAAUAUUGCUCCAUGGGGGAAACCCUGAAGCAGCAACGCCGCGUGGAGGAUGAAGGUUUUCGGAUUGUAAACUCCUUUUGUUAGAGAAGAUACUGACGGUAUCUAACGAAUAAGCACAGGCUAACUCCGUGCCAGGAGCAGCGGUAAUACGGAGGUUGCAAGCGUUACUCGGAAUCACUGGGCGUAAAGGGCGCGUAGGCGGGAUAGCAAGUCAGAUGUGAAAUCCUGUAGCUUAACUACAGAACUGCAUUUGAAACUAUGAGUCUAGAGUGUGGGAGAGGUAGGUGGAAUUCUGGGUGUAGGGGUAAAAUCCGUAGAUAUCAAGAGGAACACUCAUUGCGAAGGCGACCUACUGGAACAUUACUGACGCUCAUGCACGAAAGCGUGGGUAGCGAACAGGAUUAGAUACCCGAGUAGUC